UAUAAUAUAAAUUUUAAAUUAUAAUUGACUUCCAAUCAAUAAAUCUAGAAAUAGUAUAGAUA
rnacentral:tRNA from 1 species